GGAGGCGUACAGGCGCCUGGUGGCCCUCCCGGUCUUCAAAACCGGUGAAGUCGAGUACCUCGGCUUGGCGGGUUCGAUUCCCGUCCGCCUCCGCCA
rnacentral:tRNA from 1 species